UUUCAAAAUAGAAAAUAUACAUCAUGAUCAAAGUCUGCCAACAAAGGGUGAAGUUAAAUAGUGAAAAAAGAGAAGCUGUGGUCAGCAAUGAGUGUUUUACCCUAAGCAUAAAACCCCUAAGCAAUGGUGGGAACGAUUACAGAAGAGAGUGUAAGUGUCAUAGAUGCAAAGAACACCAUUCUGAGAAAAUCAGCACUGGGAAGAGGACGGUGGGCCAUGGGAACAGAAAGCAGAACGGUGCAUUCAAAUGUUUCUGAGGAUGAACUUUAGCAAGUAAUCGACUGGCCACAUGAUGCUCUGAGCCUCUCGCUUCCCCCAUUUUCUGACCAGCCCUGAGAACAGAACCAAGAGGCUGAAGAAGGAAGCAGAGAAGUGCCAAGAAUUGCAGAAGAGGGGGAUGUGGUGAGCGGCCCCUGGGUGAGGGGUUCCAGCUGCAGCAGGAGAGACACCAGAGGGACGGGGCCAUAUGGCUGCCAUCGGCUUUGCUGCUGCUCUCUGUCCCAGUGGUGUCCUGGAACCCUAGGAGCCCCUGGAAGGUCUUAAACACUCUGAUGACCCUGUGGAGCAUGUAGCAUCGUGGACCCAC